GAAACUGCGAAUGGCUCAUUAAAUCAGUUAUCGUUUAUUUGAUAGUACCUUACUACUUGGAUAACCGUGGUAAUUCUAGAGCUAAUACAUGCUAAAAGCCCCGACUUCGGAAGGGGUGUAUUUAUUAGAUUAAAAACCAAUGCCCUUCGGGGCUCUUUGGUGAUUCAUAAUAACUUAACGAAUCGCAUGGCCUUGUGCCGGCGAUGGUUCAUUCAAAUUUCUGCCCUAUCAACUUUCGAUGGUAGUAUAUGGGACUACCAUGGUUUCAACGGGUAACGGGGAAUUAGGGUUCUAUUCCGGAGAGGGAGCCUGAGAAACGGCUACCACAUCCAAGGAAGGCAGCAGGCGCGCAAAUUACCCAAUCCCGACACGGGGAGGUAGUGACAAUAAAUACUGAUGCAGGGCUCUUUUGGGUCUUGUAAUUGGAAUGAGUACAAUUUAAAUCCCUUAACGAGGAACAAUUGGAGGGCAAGUCUGGUGCCAGCAGCCGCGGUAAUACCAGCUCCAAUAGCGUAUAUUAAAGUUGUUGCAGUUAAAAAGCUCGUAGUUGAACCUUGGGCCUGGCUGGCCGGUCCGCCUCACCGCGUGCACUGGUCCGGCCGGGUCUUUCCUCCUGGGGAGCCGCAUGCCCUUCACUGGGUGUGUCGGGGAACCAGGACUUUUACUUUGAAAAAAUUAGAGUGUUCAAAGCAGGCCUAUGCUCGAAUACAUUAGCAUGGAAUAAUAGAAUAGGACGUGUGGUUCUAUUUUGUUGGUUUCUCGGACCGCCGUAAUGAUUAAUAGGGAUGGUCGGGGGCAUCAGUAUUCAAUUGUCAGAGGUGAAAUUCUUGGAUUUAUUGAAGACUAACUACUGCGAAAGCAUUUGCCAAGGAUGUUUUCAUUAAUCAGGGAACGAAAGUUAGGGGAUCGAAGACGAUCAGAUACCGUCGUAGUCUUAACCAUAAACUAUGCCGACUAGGGAUCGGGCGAUGUUAUUUUUUUUUUGACUCGCUCGGCACCUUACGAGAAAUCAAAGUC
rnacentral:rRNA from 1 species